AUACUAAUUAAUUUCAGAUUAGAUCUGAAUUAAUUAGACUUAAUUGGAUCUAAAAUUUAAGUUAGACUUGGUACAAAAAUCCUAAAGAGUUGGAGAUUGACAGACUUUCAAAAUUUUUUCGAUCCAACUUCGAAUUGGAUUCGAAUCAGAUCCAUUUUGGAUGAGAUAUUAGGAAUCUCACUUACACUAGAAUUCUCCUCUCUGUUGGACUGACC
rnacentral:lncRNA from 1 species